rnacentral:rRNA from 1 species
GACGAACGCUGGCGGCAUGCCUAAUACAUGCAAGUUGAACGAUGAUAUUCUCUGCUUGCAGAGAAUUGAAGAGUAGCGAACGGGUGAGUAACACGUGGGGGACCUGCCCAUGAGAGGGGGAUAACAUUCGGAAACGGAUGCUAAUACCGCAUAAUGCUUUGGACCGCCUGGUCCAGAGACGAAAGACGGCUUUUGCUGUCACUCAUGGAUGGCCCCGCGCCGUAUUAGCUAGUUGGUGAGGUAAUGGCUCACCAAAGCUGUGAUACGUAGCCGACCUGAGAGGGUGAUCGGCCACACUGGGACUGAGACACGGCCCAGACUCCUACGGGAGGCAGCAGUAGGGAAUCUUCCACAAUGGGCGAAAGCCUGAUGGAGCAAUGCCGCGUGAAUGAAGAAGGUCUUCGGAUCGUAAAGUUCUGUUAUUAGAGAAGAACAAGUCAAGGAGUAACUGUCUUGACUUUGACGGUACCUAACCAGAAAGUCACGGCUAACUACGUG